GACGAACGCUGGCGGCGUGCUUAACACAUGCAAGUCGAACGGAAAGGCCUCUUUCGGGGGGUACUCGAGUGGCGAACGGGUGAGUAACACGUGAGUAACCUGCCCUUUACUUUGGGAUAACUUCAGGAAACUGGGGCUAAUACCGGAUAGGAGCUCCUGCUGCAUGGUGGGGGUUGGAAAGUUUCGGCGGUUGGGGAUGGACUCGCGGCUUAUCAGCUUGUUGGUGGGGUAGUGGCUUACCAAGGCUUUGACGGGUAGCCGGCCUGAGAGGGUGACCGGCCACCUUGGGACUGAGGUACGGCCCAGACUCCUACGGGAGGCAGCAGUGGGGAAUAUUGCACAAUGGGUGGAAGCCUGAUGCAGCAACGCCGUGUGCGGGAUGACGGCCUUCGGGUUGGAAACCGCUUUCGCUCAUGACGAAGCUUUGUGUGACGGUAGUGGGUAAAGAAGCACCGGCUAACUACGUG
rnacentral:rRNA from 1 species